rnacentral:rRNA from 1 species
UACGUAGGUGGCAAGCGUUGUCCGGAUUUACUGGGCGUAAAGAGCGCGCAGGCGGCUGGGCAAGUCCGAUGUGAAAGCUUCCGGCUUAACUGGAAAAUUGCAUCGGAAACUGCUCGGCUUGAAGGUGGGAGAGGGUAGCGGAAUUCCCGGUGUAGUGGUGAAAUGCGUAGAUAUCGGAAGGAACACCAGUGGCGAAGGCGGCUACCUGGCCCACUCUUGACGCUGAGGCGCGAAAGCUAGGGGAGCAAACGGG